rnacentral:rRNA from 1 species
AAUAGAUACCCCGGUAGUCCACGCCGUAAACGAUGAGUGCUAAGUGUUAGGGGGUUUCCGCCCCUUAGUGCUGCAGCUAACGCAUUAAGCACUCCGCCUGGGGAGUACGGUCGCAAGACUGAAACUCAAAGGAAUUGACGGGGGCCCGCACAAGCGGUGGAGCAUGUGGUUUAAUUCGAAGCAACGCGAAGAACCUUACCAGGUCUUGACAUCCCAUUGACCGCUAUGGAGACAUGGCUUUCCCUUCGGGGACAGUGGUGACAGGUGGUGCAUGGUUGUCGUCAGCUCGUGUCGUGAGAUGUUGGGUUAAGUCCCGCAACGAGCGCAACCCUUGUUCUUAGUUGCCAUCAUUUAGUUGGGCACUCUAAGGAGACUGCCGGUGACAAACCGGAGGAAGGUGGGGAUGACGUCAAAUCAUCAUGCCCCUUAUGACCUGGGCUACACACGUGCUACAAUGGACGGUACAAACGGUUGCCAACCCGCGAGGGGAGCUAAUCCGAUAAAACCGUUCUCAGUUCGGAUUGUAGGCUGCAACUCGCCUAC